rnacentral:misc_RNA from 1 species
ACCGUUACAACAGUGUGUGCUGCGGCCCCGAGGUGAGGCAACGAGCCUUCGGGAGGUCUGGGGUCCGCCCCUUCACGCGCACGCGUCUGCCAUCCUUACUUUACGAGCACCUUCUGUUCUCCCUCGGCAUGCGUCCUGCGCUGCCGUUGGAAUUACAAAACUCUUUUUGCAUCUAGCAUUACCUGUUCCGACAAUAACAAUCGUUA